UACGGGGGGGGCAAGCGUUGUUCGGAAUUACUGGGCGUAAAGGGCUCGUAGGCGGCCAACUAAGUCAUGCGUGAAAUCCCUCGGCUUAACCGGGGAACUGCGUCUGAUACUGGAUGGCUUGAGUGUGGGAGAGGGAUGCGGAAUUCCAGGUGUAGCGGUGAAAUGCGUAGAUAUCUGGAGGAACACCGGUGGCGAAGGCGGCAUCCUGGACCAUUACUGACGCUGAGGCGCGAAAGCUAGGGGAGCAAACAGG
rnacentral:rRNA from 1 species